rnacentral:rRNA from 1 species
AGUUUGACGGCGGACGGGUGAGUAACACGUGGGUAACCUACCUAUAAGACUGGGAUAACUUCGGGAAACCGGAGCUAAUACCGGAUAACAUUUGGAACCGCAUGGUUCUAAAGUGAAAGAUGGUUUUGCUAUCACUUAUAGAUGGACCCGCGCCGUAUUAGCUAGUUGGUAAGGUAACGGCUUACCAAGGCGACGAUACGUAGCCGACCUGAGAGGGUGAUCGGCCACACUGGAACUGAGACACGGUCCAGACUCCUACGGGAGGCAGCAGUAGGGAAUCUUCCGCAAUGGGCGAAAGCCUGACGGAGCAACGCCGCGUGAGUGAUGAAGGGUUUCGGCUCGUAAAACUCUGUUAUUAGGGAAGAACAAAUGUGUAAGUAACUGUGCACGUCUUGACGGUACCUAAUCAGAAAGCCACGGCUAACUACGUGCCAGCAGCCGCGGUAAUACGUAGGUGGCAAGCGUUAUCCGGAAUUAUUGGGCGUAAAGCGCGCGUAGGCGGUUUCUUAAGUCUGAUGUGAAAGCCCACGGCUCAACCGUGGAGGGUCAUUGGAAACUGGGAAACUUGAGUGCAGAAGAGGAAAGUGGAAUUCCAUGUGUAGCGGUGAAAUGCGCAGAGAUAUGGAGGAACACCAGUGGCGAAGGCGACUUUCUGGUCUGUAACUGACGCUGAUGUGCGAAAGCGUGGGGAUCAAACAGGAUUAGAUACCCUGGUAGUCCACGCCGUAAACGAUGAGUGCUAAGUGUUAGGGGGUUUCCGCCCCUUAGUGCUGCAGCUAACGCAUUAAGCACUCCGCCUGGGGAGUACGACCGCAAGGUUGAAACUCAAAGGAAUUGACGGGGACCCGCACAAGCGGUGGAGCAUGUGGUUUAAUUCGAAGCAACGCGAAGAACCUUACCAAAUCUUGACAUCCUUUGAAAACUCUAGAGAUAGAGCCUUCCCCUUCGGGGGACAAAGUGACAGGUGGUGCAUGGUUGUCGUCAGCUCGUGUCGUGAGAUGUUGGGUUAAGUCCCGCAACGAGCGCAACCCUUAAGCUUAGUUGCCAUCAUUAAGUUGGGCACUCUAGGUUGACUGCCGGUGACAAACCGGAGGAAGGUGGGGAUGACGUCAAAUCAUCAUGCCCCUUAUGAUUUGGGCUACACACGUGCUACAAUGGACAAUACAAAGGGCAGCUAAACCGCGAGGUCAUGCAAAUCCCAUAAAGUUGUUCUCAGUUCGGAUUGUAGUCUGCAACUCGACUACAUGAAGCUGGAAUCGCUAGUAAUCGUAGAUCAGCAUGCUACGGUGAAUA